UAGUUGUAUGAAUGAUCUUUUGAUCUGAGAUGGUAUUAUUGCUUGCAGUGAGGCUGCUAGAGUUUGAUUGACACAUAAACAUGAAUUUCAAUGAGCUCUUGUAGUGGAUGUUGGUGAUAGUUGAUCCAUUGUAGGAGUAGAGUAUGCAUCAAGAUGGGAUAUAUCGACCUUGAUAGAGAAGAGUUGUCCUAUAGGAUUUGAGAGACUAAGUUCGAGAAUCUGUGACCACAGUAGUGUGAUUGAUGGAAAAGAGUUUUCAUAGAAAUCAUAAUUGGACUUGAGCUGAUCGAAUCUAUCAUAUGACUGAUGUUGAGGUUUGACAAUUUAUCCAUGACCUGCCAUCUAGUCGAAACUCAUGAUAGAGGGACUGAAUUGCAUGUUAACUAGACCUUGAGGU
rnacentral:lncRNA from 1 species